AACUGAUACUACCUGCGGGAACCUGCGGAGGGAUCAUUACCGAGUGAGGGUGCACCGUCGCCCGACCUCCCAACCCUGUGUCUAUUGUACCUUGUCGUUGCUUCGGCGGACCGGUUGCUGACCAACUGGUUUCGACCGCCGGGGGCCCUGUCGCCCCUGGAGCGCGUCCGCCGAUGGCCCAACUCUCAAAAUCUUGAACCCGAAACCAGUGUCGUCUGAAAACACGUUUGUGAUGAAGUA
rnacentral:misc_RNA from 1 species